GUAAAGCGUUCGUAGGUGGCCUGUCAAGUCUGAUGUUAAAUCCCGGAGCUCAACUCCGGUCCAGCAUUGGAUACUGACAAGCUAGAGUGCAGGAGAGGCAAGGGGAAUUCCUAGUGUAGCGGUGAAAUGCGUAGAUAUUAGGAGGAACACCGGUGGCGAAAGCGCCUUGCUGGACUGUAACUGACGCUAAAGGACGAAAGCCAGGGGAGCAAAUGGGAUUAGAUACCCCAGUAGUCCUGGCUGUAAACGAUGGAUACUAGAUGUUGCGGGUAUCGACCCCUGCAGUGUCGUAGCUAACGCGAUAAGUAUCCCGCCUGGGGAGUACGCACGCAAGUGUGAAACUCAAAGGAAUUGACGGGGACCCGCACAGGCGGUGGAACAUGUGGUUUAAUUCGAAGCAACGCGAAGAACCUUACCAGGACUUGACAUCUGACGAACCUUGCGGAAACGUGAGGGUGCUCUUCGGAGAACGUCAAGACAGGUGGUGCACGGUUGCCGUCAGCUCGUGUCGUGAGAUGUUGGGUUAAGUCCCGCAACGAGCGCAACCCUCGUUGUUAGUUGCAUAUAACGGCAUGCUGUUAUAUUGUUCUCUAACGAGACUGCCGGUGAUAAACCGGAGGAAGGUGGGGAUGACGUCAAAUCAUCAUGCCCCUUAUGUCCUGGGCUACACACGUGUUACAAUGGGUGGGACAACGAGCAGCCAGCCAGCGAUGGUGAGCAAAUCUCUUAAACCUACUCUCAGUUCGGAUCGCAGUCUGCAACUCGACUGCGUGAAGUCGGAAUCGC
rnacentral:rRNA from 1 species